AACCCUAUCUAACUUAACACCAGCCGCUACCAUCCAUUGUUCCCUCUCAUCUGCUAUCUGCAACUGAAGAUUUAACCCAAACACACAUCUCAUCUCCUUUAAUACACACACACAUGGAGACCCUUUCACCUCUACAAACUCUCAAGACAAACCACAGGCACCAUAAUCUCUUCUCUCCAUCUCGAUUCCAAGCCAGCAACCACCAGGGGGUGGCACCGAUUAACUGGCCGACAACCACACGUCUGCAAAUACCCCCCCCCCCCCUUUUCGAUUAACAAAAUGGAGCACCACCACCACCGUCCGGUGGUGGUGCGGCGGCUACAAACAGAAGAGAGAGACGAGUUAGAGAGAGACCGAGGAGAGGGAGAGAGACGGCGGAGGUUGAUGACGGCGGCGGGUGGUUCGAUGACGACGGCAACGAGCAGUUUUCCGAUGACCGACGAGCAGAGGGGAUCUGGCAGCCGCUGUUCUGCUGUGAUGAUGAUGAUGUCUCCGGUAAGUCAACCAAUGCUCAACCUUUUCACAGAUUGAGUCGUGUUACCUUGUUAGUCGGCUUCUUUUGCUUUUCUUUUUGUGGAUUCCAAACAAAAACGACGCCGGAAAAGGUUCACCGACGGUAACCGAGCCGCUGCAGUGGUGGUCGGCGGAGUGGAAGGGCAUAGUACGGGUUUUAUUGCUGUAUUGGGCCUGGUCAACACGAGUCAAAGCUCAGGUCAACAAGUCACCGGGUCACUCCUCUCAGAUUCAUGUUGGGCUCGAGUCAAGCUGCUUCGGUUCGGGUUUCGUGAGGCGAGUUAACAGGCGGGUCCGGUUCGGUCAGGUUCAGAUUUUGGUUCGGUCGACUCGGUCAAACCUGGUCAACUCCCUGAGUCAACUCGGUCAACUCAGCCGGUCAACUCAGUCAAACAUUUCGACGACUCGACGAGAGUUUUGGAGUGUUUAUAGAUUACACGCUAGCGAGUCACGUCUUGGAAAUGACAUCACGGAAUCAUAAUUGGCUAGCUUUGCACAGGAACAUCUAGUUUUAUAACUUCGGGAGUGAAAUACAUGUUACAAAUGUUUCAAACGUAUACAAGUGGUAUGGUUAGCUAAGGAAUGAACUGUUAGAUCAUGUGAAUGGGUGGGCGCACUUCAGACCAUUAAUCAUUGUAUAAAGACCGAGGGGGAUGAGUGAUAGAUCUAUUUGGGUGUUGGGAUCCCCACCCAUGAGACCGCGAGUUGGACCAUGUGGUGACUAUGUCGUUCCCGCCGGGUGGCCCGGUACGAAAUACGUAAAGGAUUGAGCCUUCCUGCACCAUUUCGCACAUACUAAUGUCGUUGUGAAACAUUAAUUGAUCUGUUCAUAGAUGUUACAUACUAGUUUUAGAUACUCGAAUUUUCAAAUGCUCUUAAGACUCAACUGAUGAUAACUCACAAAUACAUGGACUUACGAAUUUUGGUAACGCUUUUCAACUUAUGUAUAAGUAAGAGGACGGGGUGAUCCUGCUUACAAAGACUCUCGUGGGCUAGACUCGCAGUUUUCAUACAACAUGCUGAGAAAAAUGAUUUUACUAAAUUUUUCUCCACAACUUUUAAUUCGGUAAACAAAAAGAUUUAUUUAAAAAUCUUUUCCAAAACAAACUAUGAACUCGCUCAACUUUAUGUUGAUUUUUCGCAAGUUUCUUUCUCAUGUUACUUUUUCAAAACAUGGUGCGGUUGGAAUAGGAGAACCAUGUGGAGUCGAGUACUUAGUGGCAUUCGUUUUCUAUAAGUCUUAGCUUAUUUGCUUCCGCUGUGCAAUGAAG